AAAGAUAAACAAAACAAAACAAACACACAAAAUAAAAAGGAGGAGGGGGUGACGAGAAGGUGGUUUUAAUCCCUUAUGUGUGUGAAGAAGGUAUUUCGGUUCUUCCUGGUUAAAUGCGGGUAAAUUAAAGCUGGCAAUUGAAUAGGGAAAAAGGACGACCUUGAAGCUUACAUCUAUCUAUCUAUCUAUCUAUCAUCUAUCUAUAUAAAAGAAAAAAGGAAAAAGAAAUAAAAGCAUAUGUCUGACAAUGUUUAAGUUAAAAAGUUACUUUGAAGUAUGUUGUAUUAAACACUUAGUUGCAAUGGCAAGUAGGUCAAAAAAAAAGAACAAGGAUUAUGAGUAUGAAUUUUAAAAUAAAAAAUAAAUAAAAAAAGAAAAGUUGUAUCUAAAAAUAUACAGGCUGUGAGGCAACACCAGGUCCUUAAUAUAUUGUUUUCCCCAAUGUUGGGGUUUUACAGUUUUAUGGGGACCUUGUCAUUGUUGUCCUCUUGUUCUUUCAGCCUGUCUUCUGGUGGGGGGGGCUGUCACAUUGUUUUUCAGUCAAUCUUGCUUGGGUGGAGUUGCCCCGUCCCCUAUCUAGAGGCUGGGCUCUGUGGAAACCAAUUUUUCAGGCUUUUGUUCUCUGGAGGUUUUUGUUCUCUGUUUUGAGCCUUUCAGAGGGACAGAGCAAAGUAAACUGUACCUAGACUUCUGCCUCAGAGAGGAGCCACAGUCUGCUCCUCUCUGAAUGGUCCAGAGCAUGCAGACUCCCCAUCUGCAAACUCUGUUAAAACUGCAGCCUCCCACAGGUGGUGCGCACCACCAGCCACCAUCUCAGUGGUCACCUGAGGCCCCUGCUCAUCUCUGUACCCCCAUGCCACCAAAACCAUAAGCAAUACUGUCAAGGUGAGCCUGGUCCUGGUGGCUGCCAUUCCUGGAACUGCUGACUAAAGCCCACACAGCAUGCACUCAGACCUGGUGGGGUUGGCUGACUGACAGCCACCGGUCCCAGGGACCUCCACCUCAAGCCUGUGCCAAGCUCUCUGUGGCACAGGCAGGCACUGGCUGUGGUCGUCCUAGGGCCAUGGGCUUAGGUCCGAUCCUGUGGCCACCUGGUCCCAUCAAUUGUUCCUUAAGUCCAUUUGUUCUGUUUGAGUGCUGCUAUCAAUACUUUUCUGACUCACAGCAGCCAGUCUCCAAGCUAUUGCUGGUCCACAAGUGCAGGGCACUUUUGCAUUGGGGUAUUAUUUUCCAGUCUUCUGGUGGUUCUCUCCCGACUUGUGUUUAUCCUCUGAUAUCUGUCCAUUGAUUCCCAAAUCAUCUGCACCUCUCCACUGAUGAUCCUUUGCCCCCAUAGAGAUCCAGAAGUGUAUAAUGUUGCAUCUCAGGCUGACUUCAUGAGUGUUCAGAGUGCUCUGGUAGAUAUCUAGCUCAAUUUAAUGGACCAGCUGAAAUAGGGUCUCCUACUCCUCUGCCAUCUUACCCCUCCUCCCUGCCCCCAUUGCUUUUUCUGC